rnacentral:rRNA from 1 species
GACGAACGCUGGCGGCGUGCCUAACACAUGCAAGUCGAGCGGGGUUGAAGCGAGAGGUAACUCGAACUUCUACCUAGCGGCGGACGGGUGAGUAACGCGUGGGCAACCUGCCUCAAGGUCUGGGAUAACAGCCCGAAAGGGCUGCUAAUACCGGGUAUGCUUGUGGCCUCGCAUGGGGCUAUGAGCAAAGGGGAAACCCGCCUUGAGAUGGGCCCGCGUCCCAUCAGCUAGUUGGUGAGGUAACAGCUCACCAAGGCGACGACGGGUAGCCGGCCUGAGAGGGUGACCGGCCACACUGGGACUGAGACACGGCCCAGACUCCUACGGGGGCAGCAGUGGGGGAUCUUGCACAAUGGGCGAAAGCCUGAUGCAGCGACGCCGCGUGAGCGAAGAAGGCCUUCGGGUGUAAAGCUCUGUCUUCAGGGAAGAAAGAAAUGACGGUACCUGAGGAGGAAGCCCCGGCUAACUACGUG